GUCGAAAGCGGGGAAGAAGACUCAGUGUGGGAGCUUGAAGACACCGGAACAUGUGGCUGCGAGGAAGGCGGACCAUCUAGAUGGAGCAGAGUAUGAUGCCUGAUUCCACAGGUGCGGCAGCGGCUCAAGCUGCGUUGCCGUAACUGAUGACCAGCGAUUUGCUCAGUGGUGCCCAAACCCUUCAGCGCACGAAUGUGAGCGUUAAACUUGUCCGACAAUUCCCGAAGCGAUGCCACUGAACCAUUCCGUACUACCUUUAAACCCAGAAUCUUGGUGAUGUGCGCCUGAGAAACGAGGCGCCGAUAAUUUUCUGUUAAUUUCUGUUUGAGAUUAGUCUACUGCACAUUUUUGGCGGCUGCAUGACCCAACAAUCACUUUUGUUUAUCAUCUUUUAAAAUGUAUGGGAGAUAUCGUUUGUUUGUCGAUCCAGUACAAAGGUGGUGGGGGAACUGACCGGAAAUCGUAAAAUCGACGCGGCCGACAUACUCAGGCAUGCUGCUGUUCGAAUACAUUUUUUUUGGCAUUUGAACGACGGUGAGUACAGACGUGUUUCUUUUUAGAUACGAGUAGCUAGCGAAAAUGUGAACAAGACGAGCGUCGGCUCUCUUUGCAACGCAGCAAUGCAUUAUUUUUUUUCGUCUCGCAAGCCGAUGAUCGAGCACUCCUCUGCCUGCCUAAAAAAUGCAGCAACACAGGCCAUUGCACAUUGGGCCAGCAAACCGAUUUUUCGACGAAAAUUCAAAUUUUUCAUAAAAAGUAAACCUCUUUUAAUAAUAAAAUUAGAACAGCAUAUACUUCGACUAAAAUGAAUCAAAAGAUUUUAAUUGUUUUGAUGCAUUCCUGAAAUUUUGGCAGCCCCUAUAAGUCAGCUGUGUGAUUGCAUGCGUGCGAAACUAAACAGCGCAGGUAAAAAUUUUGUUGACUUGCGAGCGUGCCAAAAUUUUUGUGGUUUAACCAGUUUUCACAAAAAUUAUGGAAAAGAAGGACCAUGGUAUGUAGAAUAUUUGUAUUAAAAAAAGUUCGUUAAUGUUUGUUAAUGCGUUUUUUGUGUGCGUUUAUUCGUGUUGUCCAAAAGUAGAAAAAAGUUAACCUGCUAAUCCGUCUUUUGUAGAGUAUAACUAAUUUUGUGCCAAUUUGUGCCAAAGAGUAAUUAUGUGUCAUUAUAGUGCAAAGUGUGUAUAAACUAAUUUUAAAAAUCUUUUUGCUCCUUUUUGCUCCGAUGUGUAUAAUCCUUAAUAUUACAGCUGUGGUUGAGUUGGCUAAUGAGCAACUGCUUGAUAUCUACAUACAAAACAAUCGUAGCGCAUCUUCCGUUUCGAGUUGGAUUUAUGAUGAACUGAAAGAAUUCCACUUAAGCACGGAGAAAAAGAUUGAAAUCAAUACCAAAGUGAGAAGCUUUCACCUUUACAUACAAAAGAAUUUGGCAAAUUGUAAUAGAAAUAUGGCCAGAUUUAAGACAAAGCAUACCAAAUGGCUUUCGUCCAACAUGGUUAUAACAGUAAGUUCAUUGUUGUCUUCAAAUCCAAAGCCGUCUACAUCAAGACGAGUUGGACGCCCGCCUAAGCUACUAGCUGAAAUGUUAGGUCUUGAUUCCUCAUUGCAUAUUUUAGCAAUAUUUUAAUUGCUAUUUCUUGUGACCUACCAAUUGAUCCAACACAAUUAAAAAAAUUAUUGCCAGAAAACCAUUACUAUAUGUCCUUGUAUCCACGGUUUCCAAUGUCGGCAACGGUCCAUAAAGUGUUAAUAGAAUACCAAAUAAUAGAAGCAUCAAUCCUUCCAUUAGGUGUUCUUGGCGAAAACGCCGAAGAGGCUCGCAACAAAUACUAUAAGAGUGACAGGAGGUUACAUGCUCGAAAGAGUACACGGCAGAACAACAUGGCAGACGUUUUCCACAGAGCAAUGGAUUCCUCAGAUCCUCUUGUGUCGAGCAUCUAUCUAACAAAAA